rnacentral:rRNA from 1 species
CACGUAGGGUGCGAGCGUUGUCCGGAAUUAUUGGGCGUAAAGAGCUCGUAGGCGGUGUGUCGCGUCGGCCGUGAAAACCUGCAGCUUAACUGUGGGCUUGCGGUCGAUACGGGCAUCACUGGAGUUCGGCAGGGGAGACUGGAAUUUACGGUGUAGCGGUGAAAUGCGUAGAUAUCGUAAGGAAGACCAGUGGCGAAGGCGGGUCUCUGGACAGUUCCUGACGCUGAGGCACGAAGGCCAGGGGAGCAAACGGG